rnacentral:rRNA from 1 species
UACGGGGGGAGCAAGCGUUGUUCGGAUUUACUGGGCGUAAAGGGCGCGUAGGCGGUCACUACAAGUCAGUUGUGAAAUCUCUGGGCUUAACUCAGAACGGUCAACUGAUACUGUUGGACUAGAGUGCAGAAGGGGCAACUGGAAUUCUCGGUGUAGCGGUGAAAUGCGUAGAUAUCGAGAGGAACACCCGUGGCGAAGGCGGCCAACUGGGCCGGACCUGACGCUGGAGGCGCGAAGGCGUGGGGAGCGAACGGG